rnacentral:rRNA from 1 species
AGCGAACGCUGGCGGCAGGCUUAACACAUGCAAGUCGAGCGCCCCGCAAGGGGAGCGGCCGACGGGUGAGUAACACGUGGGAACGUACCCUUUGGUUCGGAACAACCCAGGGAAACUUGGGCUAAUACCGGAUAAGUCCGCGAGGAGAAAGAUUUAUCGCCGAAGGAUCGGCCCGCGUCUGAUUAGCUAGUUGGUGUGGUAACGGCGCACCAAGGCGACGAUCAGUAGCUGGUCUGAGAGGAUGAUCAGCCACACUGGGACUGAGACACGGCCCAGACUCCUACGGGAGGCAGCAGUGGGGAAUAUUGGACAAUGGGGGCAACCCUGAUCCAGCCAUGCCGCGUGAGUGAUGAAGGCCCUAGGGUUGUAAAGCUCUUUCGGGGGGGAAGAUAAUGACGGUACCCACAGAAGAAGCCCCGGCUAACUUCGUG